CAUCUCUUUUCGUACUUAAGUCUAAUGUAAACCUUAAGAUUGUGUGAGUGAUGUCUAACCGACUUAAAUAUAAUUCAGAGAUUCAAGAAUAAUUGGAAUUGGAACUUAAGAGGACUUGCUGUAUUUCUUAUCUGUACACAUGAGCUGCACAGCAUGGGCAGCAAGCAGAAAGUUUUUAGCUGCUUUACAGGUCCACCUUUUAAGGCUAAUGUGAUUUUUAUACUUAACAGGAUGAAUUAUGUGGUCACUGGGAGGAAGACAAAGACCACUGGAAAACACCCACACAUAGACAGUGGACAAAGGAAGAAAGGUCACUGUUUUCUUCUCCUUUCUGACAUUCAGCCACUGGUUUAUCAGUUUGCUGCCAUGGCACAAGAAAGCGAGGGGAGUCAUCUUUCAGCCCUCCUCUGGAACUGGCUUCUCCCUCCUACAGACAGCCUUUCCCUUGCUGUAAAAUCUUUGUUUAAUGGCUGCAUUCAUUAUGCCGCUACAAAGACAGCUCCAUCUAAACUUUGAAGAAGACACAGAAGAAAUGAAAACCAAAUAAACUUUUAGAAGUGUUCA
ensembl:lncRNA